GCACCGGUCACCUAACGGUUAUGGUACCCGCCUUUUAAGCGGAAAAAUGAGAGUUCAAAUCUCUCUCGGUGCACCA
rnacentral:tRNA from 1 species